GACGAACGCUGGCGGCGUGCCUAACACAUGCAAGUCGAGCGGAGAAUGCAGAUAUGUUUACAUAGAAGUAUUCUUAGCGGCGGACGGGUGAGUAACACGUGGGUAACCUGCCUCAAAGUGGGGGAUAGCCUUCCGAAAGGAAGAUUAAUACCGCAUAAGCCUACAGUGCCGCAUGGUACAGCAGGAAAAGGAGCAAUCCGCUUUGAGAUGGACCCGCGGCGCAUUGGCUAGUUGGUGAGGUAACGGCUCACCAAGGCGACGAUGCGUAGCCGACCUGAGAGGUGAUCGGCACAUUGGAACUGAGACACGGUCCAGACUCCUACGGGAGCAGCAGUGGGAAUAUUGCACAAUGGGC
rnacentral:rRNA from 1 species